rnacentral:rRNA from 1 species
UACGUAGGGUGCGAGCGUUGUCCGGAAUUAUUGGGCGUAAAGGGCUCGUAGGCGGUUUGUCGCGUCGGGAGUGAAAACCAUGGGCUUAACUCAUGGCUUGCUUCCGAUACGGGCAGACUAGAGGCAUGCAGGGGAGAACGGAAUUCCUGGUGUAGCAGUGAAAUGCGUAGAUAUCGUAAGGAAGACCAGUGGCGAAGGCGGAUCUCUGGACAGUUACUGACACUGAGGCACGGAAGGCCAGGGGAGCAAACGGGAU